rnacentral:rRNA from 1 species
AUUGAACGCUGGCGGCAUGCCUUACACAUGCAAGUCGAACGGUAACAGGUCUUCGGAUGCUGACGAGUGGCGCACGGGUGAGUAAUACAUCGGAACGUGCCCGAUCGUGGGGGAUAACGAAGCGAAAGCUUUGCUAAUACCGCAUAAGAUCUACGGAUGAAAGCAGGGGACCGCAAGGCCUUGCGCGAACGGAGCGGCCGAUGGCAGAUUAGGUAGUUGGUGGGAUAAAAGCUUACCAAGCCGACGAUCUGUAGCUGGUCUUAGAGGACGACCAGCCACAAUUGGAAUGAAGCACCGCCCCAGAUACUUAGGGGGGGCAGAGUGGGGAAUUUUUGACAAUGGGGCAAAGCCUGAUCCAGCCCUGCCGGGUGCAAGAUGAAGGGCUUCCGGUUGGAAAACGCUUUUGUUCGGGAAGAAAAGAAUUUGGUUAAAUACUGGGGUCCAUGACGGUACCGUAAGAAUAAGCACCGGCUAACUACGUG